UCCUUUGCCCAGCACACCUGUCACUCACCUCAACCCUUUCUCUCUUUUCCCCAUCUUUCUGUGGCUAGCUCCUCCUCAUUCUUUAGGUCUCAGUGUAGAUAGCACCACUAUCAGGAAGGAGUCCAGACACUGCCAGGCCUAAGAAAUGUAAAUUAAAUGCUCUCAAGGGAUGAGAGACACUGGAAGCUGGGACGCUCUUGGAACUCUGUUGCCAUCAUCAAGGCUUCCAGAUACAGCCCUCUAGGUCAUCCAGAGGUGCCAGCCAGCCCUCACCAGUGGUCAGCUUUUCCUCAGUGGAGUGGUAGGUGAGCCAGUGGAGCUUGCUCUGAAGAUACUAGAGGGAGCCAAAGCUGUCUGGCCCUUCAGUGUGACUCAGUUUCCAGACUCUUUCUCUUUAGACAUAAAUGAAGAACAAGUCAACCUUGAUGCCUUUGAGGGUUGGUUCAGCGGAUGAUGUGUUGUGGGGUUUUCCCACAGGUCAGCAGUCCAACUACCAGGGCCAGAGCCCCAUCAAAGAAUCUUCAGUGCCAGCCAGAAAGAAUGAUGAACUCCUCGUGUAAAGGGAGUUUGGGGCAACCAGUCAAACCAUGGCCUCAUGGGAAGCAGCUGACUAGGCAAUGAGAGAGGAAUACAAAAGACAAGGCACUGCGAAGCCAAGUCUGGUUGGGGAGAAGAAACCAAUAUGCCUGAAACAGGGAACCAGAAAGGACUCAGACAAAACUGCUGACAAGUAUGGGGUUUCUUGGGGUAGGUGGUGAAAAUAUUCCAAAAUAAGAUUAUAGCGAUGUUUUAAUAAUCCCCUGGAUAUAAUAAAAAAACAUCGAAUUGUACACUUAAAAAAAA
rnacentral:lncRNA from 1 species